GAUGAGCGCUGGCGGCGUGCCUAAUACAUGCAAGUCGAGCGAACGGACGAGAAGCUUGCUUCUCUGAUGUUAGCGGCGGACGGGUGAGUAACACGUGGAUAACCUACCUAUAAGACUGGGAUAACUUCGGGAAACCGGAGCUAAUACCGGAUAAUAUUUUGAACCGCAUGGUUCAAAAGUGAAAGACGGUCUUGCUGUCACUUAUAGAUGGAUCCGCGCUGCAUUAGCUAGUUGGUAAGGUAACGGCUUACCAAGGCAACGAUGCAUAGCCGACCUGAGAGGGUGAUCGGCCACACUGGAACUGAGACACGGUCCAGACUCCUACGGGAGGCAGCAGUAGGGAAUCUUCCGCAAUGGGCGAAAGCCUGACGGAGCAGCGCCGCGUGAGUGAUGAAGGUCUUCGGAUCGUAAAACUCUGUUAUUAGGGAAGAACAUAUGUGUAAGUAACUGUGCACAUCUUGACGGUACCUAAUCAGAAAGCCACGGCUAACUACGUG
rnacentral:rRNA from 1 species